rnacentral:rRNA from 1 species
AUUGAACGCUGGCGGCAUGCUUUACACAUGCAAGUCGAACGGUAACAGGCCGCAAGGUGCUGACGAGUGGCGAACGGGUGAGUAAUGCAUCGGAACGUGCCCAGUCGUGGGGGAUAACGCAGCGAAAGCUGUGCUAAUACCGCAUACGAUCUAUGGAUGAAAGCAGGGGACCGUAAGGCCUCGCGCGAUUGGAGUGGCCGAUGUCAGAUUAGGUAGUUGGUGGGGUAAAGGCCCACCAAGCCAACGAUCUGUAGCUGGUCUGAGAGGACGACCAGCCACACUGGGACUGAGACACGGCCCAGACUCCUACGGGAGGCAGCAGUGGGGAAUUUUGGACAAUGGGCGCAAGCCUGAUCCAGCAAUGCCGCGUGCAGGAAGAAGGCCUUCGGGUUGUAAACUGCUUUUGUACGGAACGAAACGGUCUGGGUUAAUACCCUGGGCUAAUGACGGUACCGUAAGAAUAAGCACCGGCUAACUACGUGCCAGCCGCCGCCGUAA